rnacentral:rRNA from 1 species
UACAGAGGGUGCAAGCGUUAAUCGGAAUGACUGGGCGUAAAGCGCAUGUAGGUGGAUGAAUAAGUUUGAUGUGAAAUCCCUAGGCUUAACUUAGGAACUGCGUUGAAGACUGUUUAUCUAGAGUCUGGCAGAGGGCUGUGGAAUUUCCGGUGUAGCAGUGAAAUGCGUAGAGAUCGGAAAGAACACCAGCGGCGAAGGCGGCAGCCUGGGCCAAGACUGACACUGAGGUGCGAAAGCGUGGGGAGCAAACAGG